GGAUUGUGGCUCAGAGGUAUAGUGCUUGCCUAGCAAGUGUGAGGCCCUGGGUUCAAUCCCCGGCACCA
rnacentral:tRNA from 1 species